rnacentral:rRNA from 1 species
UGAGCAAUCUGCCCUUCUCUUUGGAAUAAGCGUUGGAAACGACGUCUAAUGCCGAAUACGACCUCCUUUCGCAUGAUCGGAGGUGGAAAGCUCCGGCGGAGAAGGAUGAGCUCGCGGCCUAUCAGCUAGUUGGUGUGGGUAAUGGCCCACCAAGGCGACGACGGGUAGCCGGCCUGAGAGGGUGACCCGGCCACACUGGGACUGAGACACGGCCCAGACCUCCUACGGGAGGNAG